UACGUAGGCAGCGAGCGUUGUUCGGAGUUACUGGGCGUAAAGGGUGUGUAGGCGGUUGCUUAAGUUUGGUGUGAAAUCUCCCGGCUCAACUGGGAGGGUGCCGCCGAAUACUGAGUGACUCGAGUGCGGGAGAGGAGAGUGGAAUUCCUGGUGUAGCGGUGAAAUGCGUAGAUAUCAGGAGGAACACCAAUGGCGAAGGCAGCUCGCUGGGACGGUACUGACGCCGAGACGCGAAAGCG
rnacentral:rRNA from 1 species